GACGAACGCUGGCGGCGUGCUUAACACAUGCAAGUCGAACGGAAAGGCCCUGCUUUUGUGGGGUGCUCGAGUGGCGAACGGGGGAGUAACACGUGAGUAACCUGCCCUUGACUUUGGGAUAAAUUCAGGAAAAUGGGGCUAAUAACGGAUAGGAGCUCCUGCUGCAAGGGGGGGGUUGGAAAAUUUCGGCGGUUGGGGAUGGACUCGCGGCUUAUCAGCUUGUUGGUGGGGUAGUGGCUUACCAAGGUUUUGACGGGUCGCCGGCAUGGGAGGGUGACCGGCCACCUUGGUCCUGAGGUAGGGCCCAGUAUCCUACGGUCCGCAGCAGUCGGAAGUAUUGCGGAACGGCGCGAAGCCUGUUGCGGCAACCCCGCGUUCGUGAUGCCGGCCUUCGGGUUGUAAACCGCUUUCGCCUUUGAUGAAGCGUGCUUGACGGUAACGGGUCAAGAAGCACCGGCUAACUACGUG
rnacentral:rRNA from 1 species